CUCAUCAUGCUAUCUUUUACAGAUGCACUGUAAUUUUUUUUUUAAUUUUUUUUCAUUUUAAUUUUUUUUUAUUAGAAUUGUUUCUUUUUAAUUUAUUUUUUCAUUAUUGGUUAAAUGAGUAUUGGGAUAUGCAUAUUGUCAGAUGAAUAUUGUGAUUUUGAUAUGCUUUUUGUUAAAUAGGUAUUGUGAUAUGAUGUGCUUGAGAAAGAAUUGAAGUGUAUUUGCAAGUAGUUUUUUCAUUUUGAAAUGGGUAUUAUGGCUUGUUUUAUAAUGUCUCUAUUAAUAUUUCUUAUGCAAUAAAGAUCAUAGAUAUUUAAGAUGUGAAAUGUUGAAUGUAAAGACAAUGGUUGUAUACAACUUCCUUUUGGGCAUACCAAAUUUUGCAAGUCUUGUGUAAUAUGCUUUUUUACUUAUUAAACUAGUUAAAAGUAUGAUAUUUUUAUGAUAAAAUUAUGUGUAUAUAUAUAUAUAAUUUAAGCAAGUUAGGCUAUGGCAUCUCGCUUCAAAAAAGGCCUCGUCUUGCCUUGCCUCGCCUCUUGCAAAAGGCCAUAGGAUACCCUGUAGCCUUUCGCCUUAAUAACACUGGUUCACUCUGUAUAGAAAACUAAAUGAUUUUGUGAUAAAGUGAAGAAUUCUUAGCACAUAUUCAUGUCUAGUGUGCAUGUGAUUGUGUGUGUGAGAUGGUGAGAGGAGGAGAGGGGGGAGAUUUCCCCCAUCUUCAUUCUCCACCCACAUUGGGUCAGACUCAGAGAAGGGCAAACAACCAUACCUACACAUAUAACAAAUAGAAGUAGAACAUGAUAUCGAGAUCAUGUAAUUUGAACUAUGCUUGCAAACAUCCACAACUCUGCACUUACCUGAGCAGUGAGAUUUUGAACCAGCAGA
rnacentral:misc_RNA from 1 species